rnacentral:rRNA from 1 species
AUUGAACGCUGGCGGCAGGCCUAACACAUGCAAGUCGAGCGGAUGAAGGGAGCUUGCUCCUGGAUUCAGCGGCGGACGGGUGAGUAAUGCCUAUGAAUCUGCCUGGUAGUGGGGGAUAACGUCCGGAUACGGGCGCUAAUACCGCAUACGUCCUGAGGGAGAAAGUGGGGGAUCUUCGGACCUCACGCUAUCAGAUGAGCCUAGGUCGGAUUAGCUAGUUGGUGGGGUAAAGGCCUACCAAGGCGACGAUCCGUAACUGGUCUGAGAGGAUGACCAGUCACACUGGAACUGAGACACGGUCCAGACUCCUACGGGAGGCAGCAGUGGGGAAUAUUGGACGAUGGGCGAAAGGCUGAUCCAGCCAUGCCGCGUGUGUGAAGAAGGUCUUCGGAUUGUAAAGCGCUUUAAGUUGGGAGGAAGGGCAGUAAGUUAAUACCGUGCUGUUUUGACGUUACCAACAGAAUAAGCCCCGGCUAACUUCGUG